AGCGAACGCUGGCGGCAGGCUUAACACAUGCAAGUCGAACGGAUCCUUCGGGAUUAGUGGCGGACGGGUGAGUAACACGUGGGAACGUGCCUUUUGGUUCGGAACAACACAGGGAAACUUGUGCUAAUACCGGAUGUGCCCUUCGGGGAAGGAUUUAUCGCCAUUAGAGCGGCCCGCGUCUGAUUAGCUUGUUGGUGAGGUAAAGGACUCACCAAGGCUACGAUCAGUAGCUGGUCNGAGAGGAUGAUCAGCCACACUGGGACUGAGACACGGCCCAGACUCCUACGGGAGGCAGCAGUAGGGAAUCUUGCGCAAUGGGCGAAAGCCUGACGCAGCCAUGCCGCGUGAAUGAUGAAGGUCUUAGGAUU
rnacentral:rRNA from 1 species